GUGUUCUUCCGUAACCUUAACCUGUAACUACAAACGAAAUAUCGGAAGUGAAGAGUGGCAACAAUUAACUCUUAUCCAUUGCCAUUUGCCAAUUCCUACCACCAUCUUCAUCUUCAGCCUCCACCUUGAUCCAACAAAUAGAGAAAUUAUAGAGAAGAAGAAGAAGAAGAAGAAGAAGAAAUAAAUGCUCUUUUCAUGUCAAAAAUACAACCUUCACCUUCCCUGCUCUUCUGUCAUCCUCCAAAACCCAACAACAUCCACCGUUGUCAAGUGUCAGAACCCAAAUGUCCCAAACGAACAACAACACGCCAUUCUCCGCAAACACAAUUCCAAAUCCACAUCCUUUCUCCUUCACCAUAUUUCCCAUAAAGAUGGGGUUGAAAAUCCCAAACCCAGUGAGCUUCAAGACCCAAUGCCCCAUGAAGAAAAAGUUAAGGUUUUGGAACUUUCCCUUGUCAGGAAAAGGACCCCUCAGUUCCCUGGCUCCAUCUAUGCUCAGUCCCCAAGUGACACCGAUGUGGGUUCUUCUCUGCCCCCUCUUCGCACUCUGUUUCAAUCAAGUGCUAACAAUCACGAUAAAGAGGAUGAAGAGAUGUUAAUGCGCGCUCUUGAGAUUCGUAGGAAGGUCACUGAGGAGGUUUUCAAGGAAGCCCUGCGAAAGGGAAAGUUUGGAAUCACCUACACUACCAAUGUGGUUAACAGGAUACCUGCUUUUAUUGAUCACAUCAUGAUUGAAGCUGCUAACCUGAAAAGAUUGCCUCAAUAUUCCAGCUCCACCUUUAAUUUACGUGCCAAAACGGUUAUUGAUGAUUCUCAAGUUGUGCCACUUAUCAGAUGGUUGAAACAUCAUGCAAUAUCAUAUCCUCGGAUAGCAAAGCUCAUUGUGAUGUCAAGAGGAAAACUCGAGUCCAUAAGGAGUUUUGUUGAGUGGUUGAAGUCGGUUCAUGUGAAAGGCGAGUUUCUCGGGGUUGUAAUGUUGAAUGCUGGAGAUAAUAUUUUGCAGUGCAGUCAUGAAGAGCUGGAUGAAAUUGUUCGGUAUUUAGAGUCCAAUGGAGUCAGGAGGGAUUGGAUGGGUUAUGUUAUAAGUCGAUGUCCUCAAUUAUUGUCUUACACCUUAGAAGAAGUGAAGAUUCGUGUGCAGUUCUACCUAGAUAUGGGUUUAAAUGAGAAGGAUUUUGGCACUAUGGUUUUUGAUUUUCCGAAAGUACUUGGUUACUAUUCUUUGGAGGAAAUGAACCUAAAGGUUAAUUACUUAAAAGAAUUUGGGCUUCAACGUAAGGAUGUUGGCAAAUUGCUCGCAUUUAGGCCACAAUUGAUGGCGUGCAGCAUUGAUGAACAAUGGAAACCUCUUGUUAAGUAUCUGUACUAUUAUGGGAUUACUCGAGAUGGUAUGAGGAGAAUGCUUACCAUUAAACCAAUGGUCUUUUGUAUUGACUUGCAGAUGACUAUUGUGCCAAAGGUAAAGUUUUUACAGGACAUUGGGGUUCGAAAUGAUGCAAUUGGCAACAUGCUUGUGAAGUUUCCUACUCUACUUACUUACAGCCUGCACAAGAAGAUUAGACCUGUGGUUAUAUUCUUAAUGACCAAAGCUGGAGUCAGUGAGAAAGACAUUGGCAAGGUCAUAGCUCUUGGACCUGAGCUCUUGGGGUGCCACAUAGUACAUAAGCUUGAAGUAAAUGUAAAAUAUUUUUUGUCUCUUGGCAUACGUCUUAAGCAAUUGGGGGAGAUGAUUGCUGAUUUUCCGAUGCUUCUCAGAUAUAAUAUAGAUGUUCUUCGUCCCAAAUAUAGUUAUUUGCGAAAAACCAUGGUCCGGCCUUUGGAAGAUAUCAUUGAGUUUCCAAGGUUUUUCAGCUAUUCUCUUGAUGGUCGAAUUAUCCCAAGACACAAGGUUCUAGUGGAGAACCAGAUUAAUGUUAAGCUGAGAUACAUGUUGGCUAGCUCUAAUGAAGAAUUCAACAAAAUGGUCAAGUCCAUAAUUAAAAAGCGCCAAAGAUUUGAAUCUGCUGUCAUGAAUGAGGAUACUACUCAGCAUCAUUCUGUUGUUACUAGGGAUAUUACUACGCGAGACGCAAACAACAGCAACUAAGACUUUUCUCACUAGAUCAAGUCCGGCGAGAAAGGUUGCAGUGCGAAAUGACUUUAUAACAAACAGCCAGCACAGUGCUGAAACAUCUUAAUGAAUUGGUGGAGGAAGCGAAGCUCCUGUGUCAUAGUAAACAAAAAAGCCUGCAAAAAUGUCAAGUGCUGCCUCACUGGUAAAAGCAGAAUUGCUGCAGAGUGAGACAACUAAACUUAACACUUUGGAGUGCGGAUCAUGUUUGCGUUGUGGAGACGUGAUUUGUGUACUCCUUGCAAUUAUUUUCUAGGAUGGUUUGACUUUGAGGAGCAGGAGAAAAUUUGACUGUUCAACUGAAUAAUCUGUGUCUAAACUUGUAAGCAGAGUUAUCUGACAUGAUUGUGUAACAAAAUUCUUGGCUGCGAGUUGUCUCUACUGGCAGAACGCAAAACUUGACCCUUCUUCAGAAGGUCAACACUCAAACAAUUUGUGAAAGCCGUUUAAAUCUAUCUUGCUCUACAUUUCUGUCGUAACCAGCAAAAAAGCUCUUACAUGACACAAUUUUCAUCACUUUUUUUUAUAUGGAAACCCAUGAUCUAUAGUAAAAUUAUUUGCGGAUGACCAUGGUCCCACCACCGAUUUUAGGGACACUCCUCAAUCUGAAGGCACUUCACUAAGUUAUGCUGACCUAAAGAUAGUUUGUAAAAAUAUCCUUUAAAUCUUAAUAAUUUUAAUCUAUAUUUAAGUUAUUUUAUUAAUUAUGGAUUAUUUCAAGUUGUGUAAGAAAAAGACUAGUGUUUAAUAUAAUAUGAAUGAGUGAAGUUC